rnacentral:rRNA from 1 species
UACGUAGGGGGCAAGCGUUGUCCGGAUUUACUGGGCGUAAAGCGCACGUAGGCGGAUUGUUAAGUCAGAGGUGAAAUCCCGGAGCUCAACUUCGGAACUGCCUUUGAUACUGGCAAUCUCGAGUCCGGAAGAGGUUAGUGGAAUUCCUAGUGUAGAGGUGAAAUUCGUAGAUAUUAGGAAGAACACCAGUGGCGAAGGCGGCUCACUGGUCCGGUACUGACGCUGAGGUGCGAAAGCGUGGGGAGCGAACAGG